rnacentral:rRNA from 1 species
AGCAAGCACCGGCUAACUCCGUGCCAGCAGCCGCGGUAAUACGGGGGGUGCAAGCGUUACUCGGAAUCACUGGGCGUAAAGAGCAUGUAGGCUGAUUAGUAAGUUGGAAGUGAAAUCCUAUGGCUCAACCAUAGAACUGCUUCCAAAACUGCUUAUCUAGAGUAUGGGAGAGGUAGAUGGAAUUUCUGGUGUAGGGGUAAAAUCCGUAGAGAUCAGAAGGAAUACCGAUUGCGAAGGCGAUCUACUGGAACAUUACUGACGCUGAGAUGCGAAAGCGUGGGGAGCAAACAGGAUUAGAUACCCUGGUAGUCCACGCCCUAAACGAUGCACACUAGUUGUUGCUAUGCUAGACAUAGCAGUAAUGCAGUUAACACAGUAAGUGUGCCGCCUGGGGAGUACGGUCGCAAGAUUAAAACUCAAAGGAAUAGACGGGGACCCGCACAAGCGGUGGAGCAUGUGGUUUAAUUCGACGAUACGCGAAGAACCUUACCUGGCCUUGACAUAGUAAGAAUCUAAUAGAGAUAUAAGAGUGCUAGUUUACUAGAGCUUACAUACAGGUGCUGCACGGCUGUCGUCAGCUCGUGUCGUGAGAUGUUGGGUUAAGUCCCGCAACGAGCGCAACCCUCGUGUUAGUACUAACAGUUCGGCUGAGGACUCUAGACAGACUGCCUGGGUAACCAGGAGGAAGUGAGGACGACGUCAGUCUCUGGCCUUACGGCAGGCUACCACUGCUACAUGGGGAUACAAAGAGCCGCGUACCUGAGGUGAGCAAUCUCUAAAUAUCUC